GAUGAAGAACGCAGCGAAAUGCGAUAAGUAAUGCGAAUUGCAGAAUUUCCGUGAGUCAUCGAAUCUUUGAACGCACAUUGCGCCCACUGGUAUUCCGGUGGGCAUGCCUGUUCGAGCGUCAUUAUCCUCCCUCAAACCCCGGGUUUGGUGUUGGACCCAAGUUGUGUGAACAACUGGUCUCAAAGACAAUGACGGCGUCCGUGGGACCCUCGGUGCAACGAGCUUUUAGGAGCACGCAUCGAGUUGCAAGGACCUUCCGGGCCUGUCUCCUUUACCAUUUUACAAGGUUGACCUCGGAUCAGGUAGGAAUACCCGCUGAACUUAAGCAUAUCAAUAAGCGGAGGA
rnacentral:misc_RNA from 1 species